CAGGGUGACAGCCCCGUACACAAAAAUGCACAUGCUGUGAGCUCGAUGAGUAGGGCGGGACACGUGGUAUCCUGUCUGAAUAUGGGGGGACCAUCCUCCAAGGCUAAAUACUCCUGACUGACCGAUAGUGAACCAGUACCGUGAGGGAAAGGCGAAAAGAACCCCGGCGAGGGGAGUGAAAAAGAACCUGAAACCGUGUACGUACAAGCAGUGGGAGCACGCUUAGGCGUGUGACUGCGUACCUUUUGUAUAAUGGGUCAGCGACUUAUAUUCUGUAGCAAGGUUAACCGAAUAGGGGAGCCGAAGGGAAACCGAGUCUUAACUGGGCGUUAAGUUGCAGGGUAUAGACCCGAAACCCGGUGAUCUAGCCAUGGGCAGGUUGAAGGUUGGGUAACACUAACUGGAGGACCGAACCGACUAAUGUUGAAAAAUUAGCGGAUGACUUGUGGCUGGGGGUGAAAGGCCAAUCAAACCGGGAGAUAGCUGGUUCUCCCCGAAAGCUAUUUAGGUAGCGCCUCGUGAAUUCAUCUCCGGGGGUAGAGCACUGUUUCGGCAAGGGGGUCAUCCCGACUUACCAACCCGAUGCAAACUGCGAAUACCGGAGAAUGUUAUCACGGGAGACACACGGCGGGUGCUAACGUCCGUCGUGAAGAGGGAAACAACCCAGACCGCCAGCUAAGGUCCCAAAGUCAUGGUUAAGUGGGAAACGAUGUGGGAAGGCCCAGACAGCCAGGAUGUUGGCUUAGAAGCAGCCAUCAUUUAAAGAAAGCGUAAUAGCUCACUGGUCGAGUCGGCCUGCGCGGAAGAUGUAACGGGGCUAAACCAUGCACCGAAGCUGCGGCAGCGACACUGUGUGUUGUUGGGUAGGGGAGCGUUCUGUAAGCCUGCGAAGGUGUGCUGUGAGGCAUGCUGGAGGUAUCAGAAGUGCGAAUGCUGACAUAAGUAACGAUAAAGCGGGUGAAAAGCCCGCUCGCCGGAAGACCAAGGGUUCCUGUCCAACGUUAAUCGGGGCAGGGUGAGUCGACCCCUAAGGCGAGGCCGAAAGGCGUAGUCGAUGGGAAACAGGUUAAUAUUCCUGUACUUGGUGUUACUGCGAAGGGGGGACGGAGAAGGCUAUGUUGGCCGGGCGACGGUUGUCCCGGUUUAAGCGUGUAGGCUGGUUUUCCAGGCAAAUCCGGAAAAUCAAGGCUGAGGCGUGAUGACGAGGCACUACGGUGCUGAAGCAACAAAUGCCCUGCUUCCAGGAAAAGCCUCUAAGCAUCAGGUAACAUCAAAUCGUACCCCAAACCGACACAGGUGGUCAGGUAGAGAAUACCAAGGCGCUUGAGAGAACUCGGGUGAAGGAACUAGGCAAAAUGGUGCCGUAACUUCGGGAGAAGGCACGCUGAUAUGUAGGUGAAGUCCCUCGCGGAUGGAGCUGAAAUCAGUCGAAGAUACCAGCUGGCUGCAACUGUUUAUUAAAAACACAGCACUGUGCAAACACGAAAGUGGACGUAUACGGUGUGACGCCUGCCCGGUGCCGGAAGGUUAAUUGAUGGGGUCAGCGCAAGCGAAGCUCUUGAUCGAAGCCCCGGUAAACGGCGGCCGUAACUAUAACGGUCCUAAGGUAGCGAAAUUCCUUGUCGGGUAAGUUCCGACCUGCACGAAUGGCGUAAUGAUGGCCAGGCUGUCUCCACCCGAGACUCAGUGAAAUUGAACUCGCUGUGAAGAUGCAGUGUACCCGCGGCAAGACGGAAAGACCCCGUGAACCUUUACUAUAGCUUGACACUGAACAUUGAGCCUUGAUGUGUAGGAUAGGUGGGAGGCUUUGAAGUGUGGACGCCAGUCUGCAUGGAGCCGACCUUGAAAUACCACCCUUUAAUGUUUGAUGUUCUAACGUUGACCCGUGAUCCGGGUUGCGGACAGUGUCUGGUGGGUAGUUUGACUGGGGCGGUCUCCUCCUAAAGAGUAACGGAGGAGCACGAAGGUUGGCUAAUCCUGGUCGGACAUCAGGAGGUUAGUGCAAUGGCAUAAGCCAGCUUGACUGCGAGCGUGACGGCGCGAGCAGGUGCGAAAGCAGGUCAUAGUGAUCCGGUGGUUCUGAAUGGAAGGGCCAUCGCUCAACGGAUAAAAGGUACUCCGGGGAUAACAGGCUGAUACCGCCCAAGAGUUCAUAUCGACGGCGGUGUUUGGCACCUCGAUGUCGGCUCAUCACAUCCUGGGGCUGAAGUAGGUCCCAAGGGUAUGGCUGUUCGCCAUUUAAAGUGGUACGCGAGCUGGGUUUAGAACGUCGUGAGACAGUUCGGUCCCUAUCUGCCGUGGGCGCUGGAGAACUGAGGGGGGCUGCUCCUAGUACGAGAGGACCGGAGUGGACGCAUCACUGGUGUUCGGGUUGUCAUGCCAAUGGCACUGCCCGGUAGCUAAAUGCGGAAGAGAUAAGUGCUGAAAGCAUCUAAGCACGAAACUUGCCCCGAGAUGAGUUCUCCCUGACUCCUUGAGAGUCCUGAAGGAACGUUGAAGACGACGACGUUGAUAGGCCGGGUGUGUAAGCGCAGCGAUGCGUUGAGCUAACCGGUACUAAUGAACCGUGAG
rnacentral:rRNA from 1 species